AUGAAAAUUUCAAGUACAAAACAUCGUCAUAUUCGCGUGCCUCCUGACCUACUUUCGUACACAACUUCCCUCCUUCACUCAUUCUCAUUGUUUUCAAUUCUUAGACGUAUUCCCCUUUGCACCGCCGUGCCUUCGUCUCCGGCAGUAGCAUGGUGUGACACAAGGAAACAACGCCACCAAUCCCUCUAUGAUCAACCCAUAUCUCCAAAUUCCACCUUCGUUUUCUUUGAUUCUAAACCAAACUUUUCAAUUUGCCAAAGUAUAAACCCUAGAUCUAUGGAAAACCAAAAUUUCAACUUCAUGGAGCAGUAUCCGGCAACGCAAUAUCGAGGUUGA